AUUGAACGCUGGCGGCAGGCCUAACACAUGCAAGUCGAACGGUAACAGGAAGCAGCUUGCUGCUUUGCUGACGAGUGGCGGACGGGUGAGUAAUGUCUGGGAAACUGCCCGAUGGAGGGGGAUAACUACUGGAAACGGUAGCUAAUACCGCAUAACGUCGCAAGACCAAAGGGGGGGACCUAGGGGCUCCUUGCAUCGGAUGUGGCCAGGUGGGAUUAGCUAGUAGGUGGGGUAACGGCUCACCUAGGCGACGAUCCCUAGCUGGUCUGAGAGGAUGACCAGCCACACUGGAACUGAGACACGGUCCAGACUCCUACGGGAGGCAGCAGUGGGGAAUAUUGCACAAUGGGCGCAAGCCUGAUGCAGCCAUGCCGCGUGUAUGAAGAAGGCCUUCGGGUUGUAAAGUACUUUCAGCGGGGAGGAAGGGAGUAAAGUUAAUACCUUUGCUCAUUGACGUUACCCGCAGAAGAAGCACCGGCUAACUCCGUG
rnacentral:rRNA from 1 species